rnacentral:pre_miRNA from 13 species
CGCUGCGGGGCUUUCCUUUGUGCUUGAUCUAACCAUGUGGUGGAAUGAUGGAAACGGAACAUGGUUCUGUCAAGCACCGCGGAAAGCACCGUGCUC